UACAGAGGGGGCAAGCGUUAUUCGGAAUUAUUGGGCGUAAAGGGCGCGUAGGCGGCCGAGCAAGUCUUGGGUGAAAUCCCUCGGCUUAACCGAGGAACUGCCUUGGAAACUGCUCUGGCUUGAGGCCGGGAGAGGGUGGUGGAAUUCCCAGUGUAGCGGUGAAAUGCGUAGAUAUUGGGAGGAACACCAGUGGCGAAGGCGGCCACCUGGACCGGUCCUGACGCUGAGGCGCGAAAGCGUGGGGAGCAAACAGG
rnacentral:rRNA from 1 species